CGCGGCCUAUCAGCUUGUUGGUGAGGUAACGGCUCACCAAGGCAACGACGGGUAGCUGGUCUGAGAGGACGAUCAGCCACACUGGAACUGAGAUACGGUCCAGACUCCUACGGGAGGCAGCAGCAGGGAAUCUUGCGCAAUGGGCGAAAGCCUGACGCAGCGACGCCGCGUGGGGGAUGAAGGCCUUAGGGUUGUAAACCCCUUUCACGAGGGAAGAAAAUGACGGUACCUCGAGAAGAAGCCCCGGCCAACUACGUGCCAGCAGCCGCGGUAAUACGUAGGGGGCGAGCGUUGUCCGGAUUUAUUGGGCGUAAAGGGCUCGUAGGCGGCUUGACAAGUCGGCCGUGAAAACCCAGGGCUCAACCCUGGGACGCCGGUCGAUACUGUCAUGGCUAGGGUCCGGUAGAGGGGAAUGGAAUUCCCGGUGUAGCGGUGAAAUGCGCAGAUAUCGGGAGGAACACCAGUAGCGAAGGCGGUUCCCUGGGCCGGUACCGACGCUGAGGAGCGAAAGCGUGGGGAGCAAACAGGAUUAGAUACCCUGGUAGUCCACGCCGUAAACGUUGGGUACUAGGCGUGGCGUCUUAUCAACGGAUGCCGUGCUCGAAGCUAACGCGUUAAGUACCCCGCCUGGGGAGUACGG
rnacentral:rRNA from 1 species